AUGAACGUUGGCGGCGUGGAUUAGGCAUGCAAGUCGAGCGUGUACCCCGCAAGGGGGAAAGCGGCGUAAGGGAGAGUAACGCGUGGAUUAUCUGCCCUCGGGUCCGGGAUAGCCGCGGGAAACUGCGGGUAAUACCGGAUGAUGUCUUCGGAUCAAAGGUGUGAUUCCGCCCGAGGAUGAGUCCGCGUCCUAUUAGCUAGUUGGUAAGGUAACGGCUUACCAAGGCCAUGAUGGGUACUGGGUGUGAGAGCACGACCCAGCUCACUGGGACUGAGACACUGCCCAGACACCUACGGGUGGCUGCAGUCGAGGAUCUUCGGCAAUGGGCGCAAGCCUGACCGAGCGACGCCGCGUGUGGGAUGAAGGCCUUCGGGUUGUAAACCACUGUCAGAGGGGAGGAAAUCAGCGGGGGUUCUCCCCCGUUGUUGACCUAUCUUCAGAGGAAGUACGGGCUAAGUUCGU
rnacentral:rRNA from 1 species